AUUGCACGCUGGCGGCAGGCCUAACACCUGCAAGUCGAGCGGAGCGGCGGACGGGUGAGUAAUUCCUAGGAAUCUGCCUGGUAGUGGGGGAUAACGUCCGGAAACGGGCGCUAAUACCGCAUACUAUCAGAUGAGCCUAGGUCGGAUUAGCUAGUUGGUGGGGUAAAGGCCUACCAAGGCGACGAUCCGUAACUGGUCUGAGAGGAUGAUCAGUCACACGGGAAAUGAGACACGGUCCAGAAUCAUACGGGAGGCAGCAGUGGGGAAUAGUGGACAAUGGGCGAAAGCCUGAUCCAGCCAUGCCGCGUGUGGGAAGAAGGUCUUCGGAGUGUAAAGCACUUUAAGUUGGGAGGCGUUACCAACAGAAUAAGCACCGGCUAACUGCGUGCCAGCAGCCGCGGUAAUUC
rnacentral:rRNA from 1 species